CUUUAAUGGACAAAAAGAAAGAGCAUUCACCUUGCUCCACACACGGUGGCAGAUCACAAAGCUCCCAGCAAUUUCAGGUUAGCCAGGGUCCUCAGCACAUGUUUCUGCACACAGACAUGGCACUGCACAUUAAAGUAAUUGACCGCUCCACUGGAAAUUGGUCAGACCAUUUCUGAACAGCAUGCAAUAGCCUCAUUUCCAUUGGAAUUAAAGGAAAACAUGUUGAUGGCUUCAAAGGUAUUUCCUCAUCACAGAAUAUCCAUUAACACCGCCACAGAAUGAUGUCAUCUGAAAACAGGCUGGUAAUGGUAUAUAGUCCCACGCAAGCCAUAAAUUAAAUCCGACAGACGGCAGGGCUCUAAAUACAAUGUAGAAGAAUGCUGUUUUGAAACCGGAGCAACUAUGUUACAGGAGGUCACAGGAUCCACCCACAGUAGAAGACAAGACACCUUUGUGCUGCGAGAUCCAUCAAUUGUGUGGUCACAAUUGUUCGACAGGCCUAUCACUGGGGUGUUUGACGAGUGGCUAUGCGCUACACGGUAAUACCUUUAAAAACCCACUCAUGCGGCCAGAAUUAAAUUCAACUUGAUAAACAGAACUCUGUUACAUGUUACACAACAAAAUAGAAACUACUUUGUCACUGUUUGUUUUCGUCAGACAUGGACUUCUGUAAGAUAUUUGCAUGUACAUUCUACCUUUGACAGCUGUAUAAUAGUAAUGAUAGUAUAGAUUAAAAUGCAUUUACGUAAUUAAAUCAUAAGAAACGUAAAAUGUGAAGCUACUUUAUAUAUGGGUUUUUUGUCCUGUAAAACGUGUGCAUAGUGGGUCAUAAUCACCUUUCAAAUGUUGUUUCAUAUAUGAUUGAUAAAGAUUUAUAUAAAAUUAUAUGUUCCAUUACAAAGAUAGGCAGAAGCAUGCAUGCACCUGGUGUACCCUUGGUGUGGUUAAUUUUACAAGCUACAUUGUAAGUAAUAUACACAUAAACAUAUACACUGGUGGGUCUCGGUCAUAUCAAGGUUAACAGUACCAACAUAUUUUUUACAUACAACUAUG